GGACUACACGGGUAUCUAAUCCCGUUUGCUCCCCUGGCUUUCGCGCCUCAGCGUCAGAAAGGGUCCAGCACGUCGCUUUCGCCACCGGCGUUCCUUCCGAUAUCUACGCAUUUCACCGCUCCACCGGAAGUUCCACAUGCCCCUACCCCCCUCCAGACCACCAGUAUCAAAAGCUCUUCUCCAGUUGAGCUGGAGGCUUUCACCCCUGACUUGAUGGCCCGCCUACGCGCCCUUUAAGCCCAGUGAUUCCGAACAACGUUCGCACGGUUCGUCUUACCGCGGCUGCUGGCAC
rnacentral:rRNA from 1 species